GCUGGCGGCAGGCCUAAUACAUGCAAGUCGAGUCGCGCCCUUCGGGGUGAGCGGCGGACGGGUGAGUAACGCGUGGGAAUAUGCCCUUCUCUAAGGAAUAGCCUCUGGAAACGGAGAGUAAUACCUAAUACGCCCUUCGGGGGAAAAAAUUUAUCGGAGAA
rnacentral:rRNA from 1 species